UAACAGGACCCAUUUGGGUCCACACUACGGAAACUUACGCGAGCUGG
rfam:Helianthus annuus linkage group 1, whole genome shotgun sequence.